CAUUUCAGGUUGACCUCGGAUCAGGUAGGGAUACCCGCUGAACUUAAGCAUAUCAAUAAGCGGAGGAAAAGAAACCAACAGGGAUUGCCCUAGUAACGGCGAGUGAAGCGGCAACAGCUCAAAUUUGAAAUCUGGCGUCAGCCCGAGUUGUAAUUUGUAGAGGAUGCUUCUAGGCAGCGGCCGGUCUAAGUUCCUUGGAACAGGACGUCACAGAGGGUGAGAAUCCCGUACGCGACCGGCUCGCACCUAACACGUAGCUC
rnacentral:rRNA from 1 species